rnacentral:rRNA from 1 species
AACGAACGCUGGCGGCAGGCCUAACACAUGCAAGUCGAACGAACGUAGCAAUACGUGAGUGGCGCACGGGAGAGUAACACGUGGGAACCUACCUUUUGGUUUGGAAUAACGUCGGGAAACUGACGCUAAUACCGGAUAAGCCCUACGGGGGGAAAGAUUUAUCGCCGAAAGAUGGGCCCGCGCUAGAUUAGCUUGUUGGUGAGGUAAUGGCUCACCAAGGCUACGAUCUAUAGCUGGUCUGAGAGGAUGACCAGCCUCACUGGGACUGAGACACGGCCCAGACUCCUACGGGAGGCAGCAGUGGGGAAUAUUGGACAAUGGGGGAAACCCUGAUCCAGCCAUGCCGCGUGAAUGAUGAAGGCCUCGGGUUGUAAAGUUCUUUUGGUAGGGACGAUGAUGACGGUACCUACAGAAUAAGCUCCGGCUAACUUCGUGCCAGCAGCCGCGGUAAU